rnacentral:rRNA from 1 species
GACGAACGCUGGCGGCGUGCCUAAUACAUGCAAGUAGAACGCACAGUUUAUACCUUAGCUUGCUACACCAUAGACUGUGAGUUGCGAACGGGUGAGUAACGCGUAGGUAACCUGCCUGGUAGCGGGGGAUAACUAUUGGAAACGAUAGCUAAUACCGCAUAAUAUUAAUUAUUGCAUGAUAAUUAAUUGAAAGGUGCAAUUGCACCACUACCAGAUGGACCUGCGUUGUAUUAGCUAGUAGGUGAGGUAACGGCUCACCUAGGCGACGAUACAUAGCCGACCUGUGAGGGUGAGCGGCCAACCUGGGACUGAGACACGGCCCAGACUCCUACGGGAGGCAGCAGUAGGGAAUCGGCUGCAAUGGACGAAAGUCUGAGCGAGCAACGCGGAGUGAGUGAGGAGGGUUUUCGGAUCGUAAAGCUCUGUUUUAAGAGUAGAACGGGUGUGAGAGUGGAAAGUUCACACUGUGACGGUAUCUUACAAGAAAGGGACGGCUAACUACGUG